UUUUUUUUUUUUUUUUUUGUUGUAGUGGCUGACAUAGUGUAUUUUCUCCAUGGUUUCGCCAUCUGUGCUAAUCAAAAAAAUGUUACCCUGGCACCAAUAUUGAGAUCAGUGAGUGAAGUCCAUCAUGUGGCUGAAGGAUGGAGCAGGUUCCUUUUCUGCCUUUCCAUUUUAUGAAAAUUUGAGAGAAGGGAAGCAGUGCUGGGGUCUGAUCCCUGAUGCUCUGUGUGCUGUCAGUCUGAAUUCAGCCUCAUCCAGCAGAAAAUGUGGAGAACACUCUUUCCCAUCCAUCAGAGCCGAGUGUCUUAGAUUUCUUCCUUCUGCCUCUUGGAGGAGUAAUCCCAGCACAAGAAAAUAGCUGUGUUGUGGGAAUUACUGGCUGAAAUGAAGAGUACACCUCUUGGUACACUCCUUUUCUGCAGCUGUGGGGGACAUAUCUAGUUCAGCUCCCUGUUAACCAGACCUGACUUUUUACUUAGGAAGAUGACACCAGUGGUCCACAAUGAGAAUUUUGGUUCAUUUACUGUCUACUCUGUUGUCAGAGCUUUGGACUGCAGCCUGAGCUUUGGACUACCCUUCUUCACCGGAAACUUUGAUGGCCGAGGAGCAGAUGCUGAAAUAGGAGUGUGAACAGCUUGAAAUGCCAAUGAAGCCACGUGUUCUUAAGUCAAAAUAAAAUGCUGUUUCAGGAUUGAUUUAUAGAGACCCAUCCAAGCAGUUACAGUUGACAGAAGCAUUUUAGAAAGGCUCAGAAUUUCAAGUACCAUUAAACAAUAUUUUAUGGGCUUCAAAGGAUGUAUCCAGGUGCUGCCAAAGGCCAGAGAGUUCUUUCUGCCUGGUCUGGAGGUGCUACUUUUUUUAAUGCUAAGCACUUCUAUUGGCUUAUUUUUUCAUCCUGGGUGCUUCUGGUGUGUUUUCUUAAGGUGUCUUUUUUUGUGAAAGCCAAUGGCAUUUGAUUCCUGAAAGGUGGCAGAGAGGACUGGUGUGACACUGCAGGCCUGGAAGCUAACAUGUGAAGAAGACACGUGAGCAGGAAAGGAGCUGAAGUUGUGGGUUGUUGGUUCUUUGGUGGUGUUGUUUUUUGAGGGUUUUUUUUUCUUUUUUGAGCUGGAAAUCCCAUUAUAGAUGGCAAUUUUGUAGGUUUCAACAACUUCCAAAAAGAGAUUUGGGCACGAGGUUUGUUGAGAUUCAUGAGAAAUUAAAAACAAGGCAAGGAUUUCAGGUCAUUUAGGAGUUUCUGAAUCCUGUGGGACUGAGUGGCAUUUCAUCUCCUGAGCACCUCUGUGCAACUCAGUCCAAGUGUCUACAAACUGUAGAGCAGAUCAUGCCACAGGUGGCAUGGAUGAGAGAGCAGACUCCUCUGGGACAAUUCCUGCAGUAAGGAAGGGGCUGUUGAACUCAGGGCUCCUGUCUUGGCUGCUGUGGUAGAGAACAGCCCAGAUCUGCCAUGGGGAUUGGUCUAGAACAGAGCAAAUCUGUGAUUUGGUUUAUUUGUCAUCCUUCCUUCCAGCCCUUCUGCUGGGAGCUGAGAUGAUAUUUGAUAACUAGUAGGAAAACUAGCAUGUUAACACUAUGUUUGCAGCUAUUACUAAAGGUUCACAUGGAAGGAUUCAGAUUGUUUUCUUAAUUUUCAGAGAAUAUCUUCCAAAUGUUUUUGUGUUGGCUCUCAGCAAUGUACAUAAAUCUGCUCAGUUACAGUAAUCUAACACAGUGAAAAAUAAUGCAACUUUGUCAUUAAAUUAUGGAUAAGCUUUGCUGUUAGUUUGGCUUGUAGUCAAUGUGAAGUAUUGCUGGUUUAAAUUAAUAUUGCAUUUUCUCAUAUUUUCCCUGGUAGCUUAUGAAAUGCUGAUUUUAUAGUUAUAUAAAACUAAGUUGAGUGUAAGCUAAGCAUUUAUAACUUCUUUUCUGCUCCACUUUUUCCUCAAUAUAUAGAAGAAAAAUCAAAUACGCAAUGCAGGCUUUAUUCUUUGGAAGUGUUUAUUUCUAAUGGAAUAAAUAAGACCACAAUCCUGCAAGUAUUUAUUUGUGUUUAACCUUAGAUGGACAGGCUUAAUGGAGUGGCCAGAGGAGGCACAGCUUCCCCAUCAGUACCACUUGAAGAUGCUUUGUGGAGCCACCUGCAGAACCCAGGCUUCAACAUUUUGUCCCAUUUGGCUCUGUGAGGUGCCAAAACAGGGCACAGGAGAUGAACAUGGGAUGCUCUUGACAGCACAGUGUGGAUCUCACACGUGCAAAUGCCUCUGUCCUAAUGCAGACCUUCUGGCUCAGCAGGCAUUUGGCACGUUUGUGCAGAGAAAGAAAUACACAGCUCGGGUUUCUUGCAGUAGCAAGAUUUUUAUCAGGUAUAUUUAGCAGUGAUGCAUGAGCGAAGCUAAGAGGCAUCAGCUCAGUAGCAGCUACUGCCAAGUAGAGGAGAGAGGUAUCAGCCCAUGUUUUAUAACACAUGGCCAGCAGAUACACUUCAUAUUGCCUGAGUUAAAAUUCUGCUAGCCUUUGUUUCUUCUCACCCUUGAACAGGUUGUAUCCUGAGAGUCUGUCCUUAAAAAUGGCCAAGCUGAGAGUCCACACUCAUAGCCAUACACACAGCUGUGACAGCUCUGAUCCCAUCACAGCUUAGUGAUGCUGUUACUUGGUUUGCUUUUUGUUGAGGGUUUGCUCUUCUGGUAUUGUUAUUUCUCCCUCCACCCUUUGAUCACAGAGAGAUUGUUUAAUGGGGUUUUGUUAAUGUCAAUUUAAUUGCUGUAUUAUCAAAAAGAAAGCAGGGUGACUCUAACUCUCUUCCACAUAUUUUGUAAUGACUAAAUAUCUACUCACUGUAAACCUGAACAAGUUCAGUUUCUGCACCAAAGUAAAGUUAAACUAAAAAUAAAAUCACCUACAAAAUGGUCAGCAAAUGGGCUAGAACUCUUCUCCUAGAGAAAUUUGUGUUAUGGUUUUAAUAAAGUACGCUUCUAGAAUUAAAACCCACUGGAAAAAAAAACAAAAAAAACCACGCAACAAAUUUUGCAACAAAUGUGCAAUCUCAGACGUUAUUAAUGAAUGAGUUACACUGGUGUGUCAUCCUAAUUUCUUACAGAUGUGUUCAUGUUCUUUGAAAGUACCAGUGGAAAUUGUCAUAAAUUCAUUUGCUGUUCACACUAAUGAAUGCUAGCCCUUAUUCUCCCUCAGUGGUAUUAUGAUUGCAAUCUGGAUUGCUGUAGGGACCCCACUGUAAUUCAUCAUUGCUUCAGCGUUCAAAUUCUCUGGUGGAACCAGAUAUUGGUGUCGACAACAUCUGGAGUUUUAUGUCUCUCAUCUUUUUUCUACCUCCUUCCUUCUGUUUAAUCAAGAGAAUGGGAAGGGGAAAUUGCUGCCGUUUUUAAUGUCUUCAAGACCCUGAGUGAUUGCUGGGAGUUUGGAGCAGCUAGGAAGGAGGGGACACAGGUCUGUCCAAGGAGGUGAGGCUGAGGAGCAGCUGCUUGCAGCUCGCUGCAGUGCCAGUCCUCAUGGCAGGCCUGGAGAGGCUGGAGGGCACUUUUCCAUCUUCCAUUCUGAAUCCAAGCACGGCUUUGACAGGGAAUGCCCUUUCACAGAAGAGUGUCUUGGCAAGCAUAUUCCCUGUUUCCUUCUCUGGGGCCAUUUCAUGUCCUGUAAAACAGAUCUGUACUUGUUACAAGGGGAGACAUAGGUGGACGUGGAUAUUAAAUAGGAAUCUUCAUCUGUGCAUGAUCAAAUCCUGACUUCCUUCCUACCCAAAUCCUUCAGAUGCAAGUUCACUCUCAGGGCCAGGGUUUAAAUGCCUCAAGAAUGCACUGCCAGGUAAAUCUUCAGUGUGGGAUGCUCCUUAACUUAGAGUGGGUCUGUCUGUCCUUACAGUGUGUGACAAUAACACUGCUUUGUGGGAGUGUGACCUUGGCCCAAGAGACAUUUUGAUGUUUAUAAAUUCUCCAGAGAUGUGCUUUCCCCUGUCCUGUCUGCUGUGCUUGGGAGGGGCUCACAUAAAGAAAAUUCAUCAUCCUCCUUCAAGUCUAGCCCUUAAAAUUCCUCCUUGCCAUAAUACCUAACAUCAACUUGAUAAAUGUUUGUCUGCAAAUAUAUUAUGACCACUGCCUAUUGUGCUAAGGAAUAUUUUACAAUCUUUGUCCUUCUCCAUCUAUUCAAAUCCACCAGCUGUCUUCCAGGGCUGGGAGUGUGUUGUGGUGGGGAACCAACCUUCGUGCAGCCAAGUGCUCUGCAGCUGGAAUGGCCUCUGUGCAAUUCAUGUCACUGGGAUGGUGACAAUUCUGAAGAAAAAGUAGUAAAAAAGUAGUAAGUCAAGGACUGGAUGGUCUGCUAUCCAUCAGUCCUGCAAACUCAAAUCUGGUUCACUGCUGGGGUCUGUUGGGGGCUAAAUUAUUUCUUCUCUCCUUCCCUGUGUGCUUGGAUUAUGUAAUUUUUCCUUAAAAUAUAUUCCUUCUCUUUGGUGCUGUUUUAGACAAUGAUACACUGAGAUUUAUAUUGCCAAUUUCUCCAUAAUAUUUUUUAAAAGAAAAAACCCAACUAUUGGAAUACUUGAAAUGUUAGUGUCAUCCAAAUACUUUCUUAGAACUAUCCCUGAAUUUAUUAUGUGUAAGCUGAUCAAGGAAUUUAGGAGCCUCAGACUCCUCUCUGUCCAGGGCACAGCUGGUGAAGGUAAUCAGCUCUUCCAGAAUUAGGAAAGAGCCAUAGCUGGUAACAGAUGCUGAACAUUUCUGUCCUGCUCUGUGACUGUAGGACACGAGGUGAUGGUGCUGGUGGAUCAUCCAUCCUCAUCUGGAAAUCAUUAUUGCUGAUUAGUCUGGCUUUUGGCUACUAAUUACUGUUACCAUAUUCCCUGUCAAAGUUUCUGGGAACUGGUCUCUGAGACUUUGUAUAUGCCCUGGAAGUUUGAGGCAUCAACAAAGACCUUUAGGCACCAUUUGUAAAUGAAAGAUUAAUAAACCAACAUAAAAGUUUCUUAGGACAGAAGCAGUCAGAGCUUCCCUCCAAUGAAAGGGAAGAAAAUGUUAAAAAUGGAUGUUAUGAGCCCCAAUUUCCCAGCAUGUUAUCCUGUGAGGUGGAGAAACUCUGAAAGGACCUAUUUUAAAAGGCAACUAAUAAUGCCAGAUUUUCAGAAUCUUUUAAGCACAUGUUGAAUUUGAAGGGGUUCAAUAAAAAUCAGUAAUUAAAACUGCAGGGAAAAAAAAAAAAAAA
rnacentral:lncRNA from 1 species